AUUGAACGCUGGCGGCAUGCUUUACACAUGCAAGUCGAACGGUAACAGGCCGCAAGGUGCUGACGAGUGGCGAAUGGGUGAGUAAUGCAUCGGAACGUGCCCAGUCGUGGGGGAUAACGCAGCGAAAGCUGUGCUAAUACCGCAUACGAUCUAUGGAUGAAAGCGGGGGACCGUAAGGCCUCGCGCGAUUGGAGCGGCCGAUGUCAGAUUAGGUAGUGGGUGGGGUAAAGGCCUACCAAGCCGACGAUCUGUAGCUGGUCUGAGAGGACGACCAGCCACACUGGGACUGAGACACGGCCCAGACUCCUACGGGAGGCAGCAGUGGGGAAUUUUGGACAAUGGGCGCAAGCCUGAUCCAGCAAUGCCGCGUGCAGGAAGAAGGCCUUCGGGUUGUAAACUGCUUUUGUACGGAACGAAACGGUUUGGGUUAAUACCCUGGGCUAAUGACGGUACCGUAAGAAUAAGCACCGGCUAACUACGUGCCAGCAGCCGCGGUAAGAC
rnacentral:rRNA from 1 species